CCCACAGGCACACACACAACUCAGAUCGGCAUAGACCCGGGGCCGCCCAUUUAAGCACGAUUUCGGGUCUUUACAGCAGAUUUCAAUUAUCAAGAAUCCAGGAGGAGCACAAGCUCAUGCUUAAGAAUGCAGUAUUCAGUGUUGCCAGAGGCCAGCACUAUUUGAGGGAAGGAGAAAAAUCUGCGGAUUAACUCACAAUAUAGGUCCUAAAAUCUAAAAUCUUGGUUGGUGCUUGUGUAUUUAACAAAUCAGAGCCAAACUGGAUUGACUUCUGGAAAGUGUGAAUAAGCCAGGUGAAUCCAACUGGGCUUUGAAUCCCUCUUCUCUCUCCCUUAGCUCCGAAUGAGAUCCAAAGCAACACAGUGAGAUGACAUCUGAGACAUCUGAUCUACCUGUGCCUGGCACAAGACACCUUGGGGCUCUAUAGAUGAGUGCUGACUACACAAUUUAAAUUCUUGGCCUGCACACUUGUCUGUGAUUCACAGUCAAAGCUGCAAGCACAGUUAUGCCUACUGAUGCCUGACAGGUCUAUCCCCUGGAAGAGAACGUACAAGGACAGAGGAAGAAUCUCAUCAGUCUCUGGUUCUGAGCAUCCUCAGGUACCCGUCCAUGACCUCAGUGGGACCUCAGCCUGAUGGGAUAUGCGUUCUUGGUGACACCAGCCCAGAAAUCCAGCUUUAUGCAUCAUGUCUUAUUCCAAAAACCUGACAGCUCUGCCUUCUAAAGAUUCCUAAAUCAGGGAUAGAUUGGUGUGGGGAAAUUAUCCACUCUGUUCUCUACCAAGUAUUUCAUGUUUAUUAGCUUACUUA
rnacentral:lncRNA from 1 species